UAGGGAAUAUUGGUUAAUGUGCGAAAGCGCGAACCAGCAACGCCGCGUGUGCGAUGAAGGCCUUCGGAUCGUAAAGCACUUUUUGCAGGGAAGAGGAAGGACGGUACCUGCAGAAUAAGUCUCGGCUAACUACGUGCCAGCAGCCGCGGUAAAACGUAGGAGACGAGCGUUAUCCGGAUUUACUGGGCGUAAAGCGCGUGCAGGCGGCAUGGCAAGUUGGAUGUGAAAGCUCCCGGCUUAACUGGGAGAGGUCGUUCAAAACUGCCAAGCUUGAGAGUGGUAGAGGGUAGCGGAAUUCCCGGUGUAGUGGUGAAAUGCGUAGAUAUCCGGAGGAACACCAGUGGCGAAAGCGGCUUCCUGGCCCAUUUCUGACGCUCAGACGCGAAAGCUAGGGUAGCAAACG
rnacentral:rRNA from 1 species